rnacentral:rRNA from 1 species
UACAGAGGUCUCAAGCGUUGUUCGGAUUCAUUGGGCGUAAAGGGCGCGUAGGCGGCCAACUAAGUCAGACGUGAAAUCCCUCGGCUUAACCGGGGAACUGCGUCUGAUACUGGAUGGCUUGAGGUUGGGAGAGGGAUGCGGAAUUCCAGGUGUAGCGGUGAAAUGCGCAGAUAUCAGGAAGAACACCCGUGGCGAAGGCGGCUCUCUGGAACGCAACUGACGCUGAGACGCGAAAGCGUGGGGAGCAAACAGG